rnacentral:tRNA from 1 species
GCCCCCAUAGUUCAAAUGGCAGAACAGGGCAUUUGUAACGCUCAUAUCCCGGUUCGAGUCCGGGUGGGGGCC